UGUGAGGAGGCCCAGGCCACAAGGAGAGGCCACCUAUAAGCAUUCAGGCCAGCAGCCCCAGAUCUGCUCCUCCUGCCAAGCUGAACCCAAGACCAGCACCUUCCUCCUUGUGUAAGAUGGUGACAUGGAUGCUGUCUAAUUGCUGCAGGAGGAAAUACAUACAUUCAAAAACACUUUACUUCAAGAGGAUGAACAAUUUAACAUCAGACUGACAUCAGACUGAUUUGUUAUCUCAAACCCCAGCUUGGCCAGCCUCCAAGUUACAUCACCUCCUCAAACCUCAGUUUCCUCAUCUGUAAAGAAUGGACUCUUCAGGAGUCAUGGGAAGCUUAGAAGAAAAAAAAAUGUAUGUAAAACAGCAAGCAUAAUUAUUUUCCUCUCUCAUUCACCCUGUCCACAGCCGGGCAGGGGGAGUGCCAUGAAGUCAGCCAGAAAUCAGCAUAUUGGACAGUGUGAGAUGAAGUCAGGUUGUAGGAC
rnacentral:sRNA from 1 species